GACAGCGAUCUCUACUGGCUGCACCGCGCCAACAUGAAACUCCCUCUCAUUUCACAGUUUCUUUCUUACUUCCAGUACAGUUACCCAACAGGCGUGAAACAAGCCAACAUCAUCGUUGAAAACUAUGGCUAAUAUACACACUGUUUCCAAAUCUGAAUUGAUAAGGAUAGUGUCGUUUGCCUCUGCAGGUACACGUGAUUAUUAGUAAUUAAUUUACUGUGAAGAUUCCAGCUAGCUUCGAUGGAGCCUUCAUUCAAAGCAUGAGUGGAGGUGUUCCCUCAGAAAUUGGGAGCACAUUUUGGAGUCAAAGAGCACAUACCAUGGUGUGUGAAUGGCUGAACAGUAGAGCUGGGAACUCUGAUGUCACUUCUGGGGUUGGCAGCAUGAGUGCCUCGGCCAGUUAUGUGGAGAACCUGAAUGAAAGCCCUCUGACAGAUGAAAAUCAUCAACUGAUGAGUCAGUUUUUUCUCAGAAACGACAAAAAAAAAGGUUAUUCAUACCAGGGUUUCCACAGACACUGUAAAAACCCAAUGCAGACACUCUUUUUAAACACAAGAGAUGUAGCACACAAGCAGUGUGGCAACUGAGGAA